UCUGUCCCCUCGAAGAAAUAAGAAUGGAAAACGUGGGAGCCAAGAAGAGAGCUGCAAGGGAAGAUCCACACUGCACAGGACAAGAAGAGCAAUAAAAUCAAUACCACCGAUCCAAGGAAAGCAAAGUUCACAAUCAGGAAGAAAGAUUUGUAUUCCAUAUCAGUAAAGCACCUCUAAAACAAAGACCUGUUGGAUCGUAAUUGUCUCCUGGGGCAAAGCUCUGAGGAAAAGAGAGGUGUCAGAGCACACACAGAGUACACUUCAGGACAGACACUUCUUGAAGGACUCUGCUUUAUUCAGCUGUGCUGGGGUGAGCACACUCU